rnacentral:rRNA from 1 species
AGAGUUUGAUCAUGGCUCAGGACGAACGCUGGCGGCGUGCCUAACACAUGCAAGUCGCACGGAACCCGCAAGGGUUCAGUGGCGGACGGGUGCGUAACACGUGAGGAACAUGCCUAUCGGCGGGGGAUAGCCGGCCCAACGCCGGGUAAUACCGCGUACGCUCACUGGGGGGCAUCCCUUGGUGAGGAAAGCAGCAAUGCACCGAUAGAGUGCCUCGCGGCCUAUCAGCUAGUUGGUGAGGUAAUGGCUCACCAAGGCAACGACGGGUAGCUGGUCUGAGAGGAUGAUCAGCCACAUUGGGACUGAGACACGGCCCAGACUCCUACGGGAGGCAGCAGUGGGGAAUCUUGCGCAAUGGCCGAAAGGCUGACGCAGCGACGCCGCGUGUGGGAUGACGGCCUUCGGGUUGUAAACCACUGUCGGAAGGGACGAAUGGCCCGCAAGGGCAGUGACGGUACCUUCAAAGGAAGCACCGGCUAACUCCGUGCCAGCAGCCGCGGUAAUACGGAGGGUGCGAGCGUUGUCCGGAAUCACUGGGCGUAAAGGGCGCGUAGGCGGCCCGGUAAGUAGGGGGUGAAAUCUUGCGGCUUAACCGCAAGGCUGCCUUCUAGACUGCCAGGCUCGAGCACAGUAGAGGCAGGUGGAAUUCCCGGUGUAGCGGUGGAAUGCGUAGAGAUCGGGAAGAACAUCAGUGGCGAAGGCGGCCUGCUGGACUGNNNCUGACGCUGAGGCGCGACAGCGUGGGGAGCAAACAGGAUUAGAUACCCUAGUAGUCC